UGCCGACAGAGCUGUUGUCAGGGUGGACAACUAGAAACAUUGUCCUAGGCCUACUAAGGUCUUCUAUGGUGUAGCUUACUCUUUGGACCCAGGAAUGAAGGGGAACCUGCUCGCUGACAUUGAUAUUGCGAAUUACGAACAGCUACCAAUUUGCAUUUAGUUAAGGAUAAGCCACACUUGUUUCCAGAAUAAAAUGCCAGCAGUUGCAGACACACUUGCAUGCUUAUAUGCAUUAGACAGCAGGUGAUAUUUUUAGCAUGGCUGGCAAACUCACUCCCAUCAAUCACAGCAGAUAGCAUUCACCUCUCUAGUUUCUGAUGGGGGUGGAGCAUUUACACUGGCCCCAUAUGGUAUUACGUCCACAUCAAUUUAGCUUUUGUGAAAUGCAAUUUAAAAAUAUAAUUCGAAAUAUCAAAAACGCUUACAGUUUAGGAGUAAUAAAUCAUCCUGAUCUAUUUGUCCAUAUUCACAGAUUUUGCAUAUAGUUGCAUACAAAAAUAAUGAAAUGUCUGAGGCAUUAUAAAUAGACUUGAGUAAAAUGCAUCAGCUAUGAACCCCAGAUGGCACGACCUUGCACUAAAGUACAACAGGUGUCAAGCACACAGAUCAUUCCUGCCAUAGACAGCAUAUCUACUCCAGACUGCUCUCUUAUUAGCUUUCCAAUGCAUUAUGACUCUGAAGCUUAUCAGGCAAGGACAAGCUUUCUGCAGACCUAGUUAUGCUUCAAAAAGCAAAGCAGCUUCAAAAAUAUGAACAUUUCUAACAUUCCAACAAUCAAGAUAUAGUAAUUCCACAAGAAUCCAGAAUCCAGUGCAUGAGGAACACCAAUGUGAUUUGAUUAAUUUGAACGGGGAAAAAUUUGGAUUAACCAAACUGAAAGCCCCAAUUUAUUGUGUCAUUUUUUUUUCUGAAGUUUUUCAUUUUUAAUCAAGUACCCCUUAUUCCCACCCUUGUAAAAUCUCUGAACCGUAACUUAGUUUACCUGUAUGGGAGAAAAUGUAACAGUCCUUGGGAUCAGAUCCUGUUCACCAAGCCAAUGUAGGGGUUGCCCAACUUUGCAAGAUGUCAGACCUUGGUUUAUAUACUUCGAUGUUUGUUGCCCAUUGGCUGCUCAGCUCAUGCAGGCUUUAACCUGAUUGGACAGCUGCACUCCUUGAUAGGGGUUUCAGGUUCUAAAAGGAAAGAAGCUGCAUCACAACACCCGAGACGGGCAGACAGCUGUCCUCACCCCCUCACAGUGGCCUGUUGCCCCGUGUUAUGAAACUAACUCGAAGGCACUGCAGAAGCACAAAAAUGUUUUAUUUACUCAUCUUAAUUAAUUAUAAUGGAUUAGUUAUAACUUACUGUUGUGUUGAGGCCCAAAACUGUCUUUGGUACUUUCUGAAGGAAAUUGUGAAAAAGGACAAAAAUUUUAACAAAACCCACUAAAAUGAAUCAUGAUAUUCAUUGUUGUUGUGAAUGUACGAGUUAAAAUAGCAUUAUGGUAUUUGCACUUUUAUAAAAUACUGUUUACUUAUGAAAAAGUCAACAUUAAUGACUGUUCUCAUUAAAAUAGUAGUUGGCCCUGUAUUCAUCCAUGUCUUGUAAUAUAUACUUAGAGAACGUAAGAGAAGGCAUCAUGUGUCCCUUGAGGUGAAGACAGUCUGUACUGUACACACUAGCGUUCUCAGUGUCCAGUUAGUGAGCUCUACUGCUCAAAACCAUUGCAUCCAAUAUACAAACUUUGAUUAUGACUUAUUGACUAGUCUCAAGAGAAUAUGUGUAGACAACUUUUUGUAAAAACUCUCAAAGUUAUCUUUUUCUUAAUAUUUUCUAUAUUGCUAUUAUUGCCCUAAGUUAUGUACUGUAAAUUACUUAAUGUAAAGUGACUGGGAAAGACACUAUUAAAAUAAAACUACUUCUACUUUAUUGCAGUGAAGUCAGAAGCCAGCUGCAUACAGA